GAUGAACGCUAGCGGCAGGCUUAAUACAUGCAAGUCGAGGGGCAUCAAGGUACACGAAAGUGUAUUGUUGGCGACCGGCGGACGGGUGAGUAAUAGGUAGGUAACCUACCUCAUACUGAGGCAUAGCUGGGAGAAAUUCCAGGUAAUUCCUCAUGAGGUUAUAUGACACAUGUGAUAUAAUCAAAGGUAUCGCAAGGUACUGGUAUGAGAUGGGCUUACUGACCAUUAGCUAGUUGGUGAGAUAAGAGCUCACCAAGGCGAAGAUGGUUAGGGGUUUUGAGAGAGAGAUCCCCCACAUUGGAACUGAGAUACGGUCCAGACUCCUACGGGAGGCAGCAGUAGGGAAUAUUGCGCAAUGGACGGAAGUCUGACGCAGCGACGCCGCGUGAGCGAUGAAGGUCUUCGGAUCGUAAAGCUCUGUCCUUGGGGAAGAAGGCGAAAGCUUGACGGUACCCAAGAAGAAAGCCCGGUAACUACGUGCC
rnacentral:rRNA from 1 species